AGACGAUGCUUACGCAUCUCCUCAGCCCAAACGGACUCUGGAUAUUGACUGCUUCUUAUAUAAUCCUUAUCCAGAACCCACA
rnacentral:ncRNA from 1 species